rnacentral:rRNA from 1 species
AUGCGGUGGUGGAUGUCGUUCGUCGGCGUGCAGGUGUCGGGAGCCGACUUGGUCCGCGCGGGUGCAAGCUUAUGCGUUAGUGCUCUUCUCUCUUGUUGCGUUGUGGUGCCGUCAGUCCGAGGUUGCUCGUCAGGCGUCGUCGUGCCGUCGGACAGAUCGGCACCAUUGACCACGGACAUGGCGUCGUUCCAGUGUGAUCGCGGUGGCCGUCGGUGGUCAUCGGGUUGUCUCCCCCCUGGUCCACCGGGACCGGCUGGGGAUACAAGCGUGGGCGCCUCCUAUUGUGGAGGUGCUGGCUGA